UCUCCGUUGGUGAACCAGCGGAGGGAUCAUUACAGAGUUACUAAACUCCCAAACCCAUGUGAACUUACCUUUGUUGCCUCGGCGGUUACCUACCCUGUAGUUACCCUGUACUUACCCGGUAGAGGCCGCCGGUGGAUCUCCAAACUCUUGUCUGAAUAUGGUCAUUCUGAGUAAUUACUAUAAUAAGUCAAAACUUUCAACAACGGAUCUCUUGGUUCUGGCAUCGAUGAAGAACGCAGC
rnacentral:misc_RNA from 1 species